rnacentral:rRNA from 1 species
UACAGAGGGUGCGAGCGUUAAUCGGAAUUACUGGGCGUAAAGCGCGCGUAGGCGGCUUUCAAGUCGAUUGUGAAAUCCCCGGGCUUAACCUGGGAACUGCAGUCGAGACUGUCUAGCUAGAGUAUGGGAGAGGGAAGUGGAAUUUCAGGUGUAGCGGUGAAAUGCGUAGAUAUCGGGAGGAACACCAGUGGCGAAGGCGGUUGCCUGGAGCUUGCUGACGCUGAGGCGCGAAAGCGUGGGGAGCGAGUCCGG